CAGUCGCCGCGGGAAUACGUAGGUCCCGAGCGUUGUCCGGAUUUAUUGGGCGUAAAGGGAGCGCAGGCGGUUUAGUAAGUCUGAAGUUAAAGGCAUUGGCUCAACCAAUGUAUGCUUUGGAAACUGCUAGACUUGAGUGCAGAAGGGGAGAGUGGAAUUCCAUGUGUAGCGGUGAAAUGCGUAGAGAUGUGGAGGAACACCAGUGGCGAAGGCGACUCUCUGGUCUGUAACUGACGCUGAGGAGCGAAAGCGUGGGGAGCGAACAGGAUUAGAUACCCGUGUAGUCCCUGUCUCUUAUACA
rnacentral:rRNA from 1 species